CUUCACCGACCCCAACCACAACGGCCGAUCCGGCGCCCGAUCCCGGCCGUAGGUCGCGAGCAGUGCCUGUGCCUC
rnacentral:antisense_RNA from 1 species